UCCCUGGUGGUCCAGUGGUUAGGACACGGUGCUUUCACUGCGGUGGCCCAGGUUCAAUCCCUGGUCGGGGAA